UCUACGGGAGGCAGCAGUGGGAAAUAUUGCACAAUGGGCGAAAGCCUGAUGCAGCGACGCCGCGUGAGGGAUGACGGCCUUCGGGUUGUAAACCUCUUUCAGCAGGGAAGAAGCGCAAGUGACGGUACCUGCAGAAGAAGCGCCGGCUAACUACGUGCCAGCAGUCGCGGUAAUACGUAGGGCGCAAGCGUUGUCCGGAAUUAUUGGGCGUAAAGAGCUCGUAGGCGGUCUGUCGCGUCUGGUGUGAAAUCCCGAGGCUCAACCUCGGGCUUGCAUCGGGUACGGGCAGACUAGAGUGCGGUAGGGGAGACUGGAAUUCCUGGUGUAGCGGUGGAAUGCGCAGAUAUCAGGAGGAACACCGAUGGCGAAGGCAGGUCUCUGGGCCGCAACUGACGCUGAGGAGCGAAAGCAUGGGGAGCGAACAGGAUUAGAUACCCUGGUAGUCCAUGCCGUAAACGUUGGGCACUAGGUGUGGGGCUCAUUCCACGAGUUCCGUGCCGCAGCUAACGCAUUAAGUGCCCCGCCUGGGGAGUACGGCCGCAAGGCUAAAACUCAAAUGAAUUGACGGA
rnacentral:rRNA from 1 species